GGCCGCGGAGAGCCUCUAACGUGGGUUCCUGUUACUUACACUGCCUUGGUCGGAAAUUCUCCUGUGAUAGUAGGGAGCUGAUAAGAUUUUCCAGCCUUUUUGCACCAGGGCCAGGUCUGAGGAUUGUCGAAUUACCCACAACAGAGCAUGGAUCAGAUCCAUUUUUCCUGCUGCCAAUGCACCAGCCACCAGGCACAAACAUGUCUUGUCCCCGACCCAAUAAAUUAGCAUCUAUCUUAUCAAGAACAGGAUCAUCAUGGCGGAAUUUUCUUGCAAAAGGGGCAUUACUUUCUAUCAUCCUUGGCAUGUCAGCAAUGGUAAGGAUGUGGGGGUGCUGCUUGGGAGGGUUGUCCCAUGAUAUGAAAUGGAGGUCGUGGUUAACAGUGGUGUUGCGGAACUCUUGAGCAUUACACAUGACAGUAUGGAAGUAGCCUUCUGGGGAGGAUAAGAAGUUUGCAUAG
rnacentral:lncRNA from 1 species